UCUAGAGGGCAUUUACAUUAGUGAAGGGAAUUGGCUUCUUGGUACAUCUUUGUUGUUACUCCUGAAACUUCUUGCCAAUGUCUUUCUUAUUGGCAUUAAUCACACUGACUGCCCCAAUCUAGAAGGACCUGCUGUGCAGUUAUGGGUGUUGCCUCUCUUUCUAUUAGAUAAUACAAAGAUCUUAAAAUUGUAUUGAAAUCUAUUGGCAGCACAGCACAAAUCUUUUCCAGUUUUCUAAAUUGUUGAAGUAAAUUUCUAAAUUGUUGAAAGUCUUUUCUUGACACAACCAACAUUUACUAUGUUUUCUGACUUACUUUUGAAUAUGAUUCUUUUUUCUAAUUUAUCUUAAUGAGAUACUACACAUUAAAAUAUUGCACAUACACUACCAGCACUCAAGUUAGAAUCUUUGGAUUUGCUCAUGUUUCAUUCCUGACAAUUUGCUUUUCAGGCCUUUAAUUUUAUGGUAUAAAAAUAAUGGGCUUUUCUUUGUAAAUGCCAGAAUCAAAAUACAAAGAAGUCAUGCAUUUUAACUGACCUGUCAAACACUAUUCUAUCUAUAAAUGAAACUCAGUAUAGCUUUUAACUUUGUUCUUACAGUAGUUAUUUAAAAUAACCCCUAAAAUCUCAAAUACAUCCUUGGACAAGAUCAUCUUGAUGCCACUACACAGUGUAUAACAUAGAAUCUAACACUACCAACAUACAAUCAAUAUCAGAUGCAAAUGCAACCCAAAUCUUAUAAAACAAAUACAAAUGUGUAUCACAUCACAAUCAACAAUGUUAACAUUCUACAUGGUAUCAAAGUUUUAAAAUAAGGAAAGUAUUAAUUUCAUUUUCAAGUAGUAUAUCAAAUCAACAGUGAAUCCCAUGAAUCCUAAGUGGUGACCUCAAUUUCUCUAUCUUGGAUGUUACACAAACAAUGCUCUCUGUAUAAGCUGCAUAUACACAUAGCAUCGAAUGGUCAUUUAUGGAAAAGAAAAAAAAAAUCAAAGUACAUAGGCACAAGACAUGGCUGUGUAGUAAGAAGCUUACUUCCC